CCAUAUCCUCUAGUGGUUUUCUGAGAAAGGAUACAUACAAGCUUUCAGGACGUGUUGAAGUCUGAAGCCAUUCCAAUCCUGAAAUCAGGCCAGCUCCAGCAUGUUCUCACGGCAGUUGCAGGGGCGCUGGCCAGGUUGCAGGAGCCCCUCUGAGACGUCUGUUGUGUUACACUGGCCCACAUCCUCUGAGCCCAGAGCCCAAGUGUGUCAUGUGGCCUGGGGUGAGGCUGUGAGAGAGGGAGGAAUUGAGGCCUUCAGAGCGAGCCGCCUGCCCUGGGAGACACUGAAGAAAAUGCACUCGGACGCGGCGCCUUCGCCCAGAGCUCCCUGUCUUCAUCUCCUUGGCGCAUUGCGUGUCUAUCUCUACCCGGGCUCCCUUCUGGCCUGUGUCUUCAACACCUGCUCACUAAGGACGUCGGUUUGGCCUCCCGAACAUAUCUGACGUCCACCCGCUUCUCUCCCUUCCCACUGCAUCCCACCUGGUUUUAAGGGCUGUCACCGCUUCCUUAAACUGUUGCCACAGCCCCUGGCUUUUCCUCUUUCCCCUGAGGCGAAGCUCUGCCAGUCUGAUCUGUACCCCGCAGCGGACGUGCGUGUUCUGCAGUGCGGCCCUGAGCGUGGCACGCUCUGCUGGCGGCGCUGGCCUCCUGGUGGAGGCUCUGCUGGGCGCCCACCGGGCAGCUGUGCCAGGAAGUGCAGGGCCUCCUUCUCGCACCCAAGGAGAGCCCCCGUUUCUGCCGUUUCCACUGUGUUCUGACUCUGGCAGGGGGGACUUUUGGAAUUCAUCUUUCUCUUCCUCCUGCCGCCCCAGGUCUCUCUGGAGCCCAGCCGUUAGUCCUCUCAGGUUCUUGUUUUCCAUGUGGGGGUGGGGGCUGGGGGCUUCUAAGGAUAGGAAAGAACAAUGUAAUGAGAUGUUGCCUCAAAGAAAUAUUACCCCCAAGCCCAUCCACCACUGAAAACUACAGUUCGUGCUGUUGGCCCUCCCCUGAUGCUCCUGGCCCCUCCCCAGGGUGGCCGCACACUCCCUUCCUGGACCCCUUCCUUCUCCUCCAGCCUCUGUCCGCUCCACAGAUAGGGAGCCAGGACAGCAAGCUGGCCACGUGUAACCCGGCUUGGGGAGGAGCAGAGCUCGUCCACAUCUACCAUGGGGGCAGCCGCCUCCCAGGAACGGGCUGUGCAGGAACACGUGCCCUGUGCCGCCCAGCCCUCCAAGGAAAUCCGAGCGGCCUCCUGCUGCUACGGGGGCAGGCUCAAGGUCUGCCU
rnacentral:lncRNA from 1 species